AGAGUUUGAUCCUGGCUCAGGAUGAACGCUAGCGACAGGCCUAACACAUGCAAGUCGAGGGGCAGCAUGGUAUCAGCUUGCUGAUACCGAUGGCGACCGGCGCACGGGUGAGUAACGCGUAUGUAAUCUACCUGUAACAGAGGGAUAACCCGGAGAAAUCCGGACUAAUACCUCAUAGCACAUAUUAUUCGCAUGAAUUUUAUGUUAAAGAGACUCGGUUACAGAUGAACAUGCGUUCCAUUAGCUGGUUGGCGGGGUCACGGCCCACCAAGGCAACGAUGGAUAGGGGUUCUGAGAGGAAGGUCCCCCACACUGGUACUGAGACACGGACCAGACUCCUACGGGAGGCAGCA
rnacentral:rRNA from 1 species